UAAUCUUUUUUUUUGUAUUUAUUGGUAUUGCAUAUCAUUUUUGGAUGUUGACAUUAUUAUGUAGAAUAGAAAGGUGAGGUAGAGGCUGUUUGUUUUUAUUGUUGCACAAUAAAAAUUAGGGCUGUUUGGUGUUGAAAUGUCGUCUUGUCUUUUAUCUGUGUUAUGGGUACUUAUUAGAAAAUUGUAAGAUUUGUUGUAUUGUUUGGAGUUUUAGAUUUUGUAGUGUUCUUUGUUUUAUGUUUUAUAACGUUUUCUUUUUGUAGUUUUGUUGUUUUUUUUAUUAUUAAUUUAUUAAUAAUUUUAUAGUUUAGAAUUUAGUAAUUUUUUAAACUUUGUUUUUUGUUGGAAUUUUUUUUUGUAAACUUGAGUUUUGAUCAAAUGUUUUUUAAAGACUUAGGUCUCUUUGUGUGGCUGGCCUCUGCUCUAUGUUUUAGAUAAAUGGCAGUCUUAGCGUGAGGACAUUAAGGUAGCAAAAUAAUUUGUGCUUUUAAUGGGCUCUAGUAUGAAUGGGGUUAGUGGUUGAUUAUUUUCUUAUGUUUUUAUGAAUUAAUUUUUUGUUUAAGAAAUAACAUUUGUAAUUGUACAAAGAUAAGUCUUCGGAAGUUUUUUUCUUGAUUUUUUUGAAAUUUUUUUGGGAUGUUUUCUAGGGUAGGAUUUUUGGUAAUUUUUUUUACUAAUUUUAAAAUAUAAAACUACUUCGGAGUUAACAGAAAUUCAUGUUUUUACCAGUUCUUAUGGUAGUAAUAAGUUUUACAUCGAUGUUGUAUUUUAGUUAUUCAGGAUAGGAGAUGGUUUGGAUUUUAAGACUGUUCUUCUUUUAAUAAACUAAACGUGAUAUUAGUUUAAUUCAUCGUGAGAUAGAAUUGUUUAUCUUGUUAAUUUCUUUUUUUAGAGGCAGGCAGUACGAAAGGAAAUUUGUUAGAGUUUUUAACUUUGUUAGAAGGUUUAUCUUCUA
rnacentral:rRNA from 1 species